UACAGAGGGUGCGAGCGUUGUUCGGAAUUAUUGGGCGUAAAGCGCUUGUAGGCGGCUUGUUAAGUUCCGUGUGAAAUCCCCAGGCUUAACCUGGGAAGUGCGCGGAAAACUGGCAAGCUUGAGUACAGCAGAGGGUCUCGGAAUUCUCGGUGUAGAGGUGAAAUUCGUAGAUAUCGAGAGGAACACCAGUGGCGAAGGCGGAGACCUGGGCUGAUACUGACGCUGAUGUGCGAAAGCAUGGGUAGCAAACAGG
rnacentral:rRNA from 1 species